rnacentral:rRNA from 1 species
GAGUAACGCGUGAGGAACCUGCCUCAAAGAGGGGGACAACAGUUGGAAACGACUGCUAAUACCGCAUAAGCCCACGACCCGGCAUCGGGUAGAGGGAAAAGGAGCAAUCCGCUUUGAGAUGGCCUCGCGUCCGAUUAGCUAGUUGGUGAGGUAACGGCCCACCAAGGCAACGAUCGGUAGCCGGACUGAGAGGUUGAACGGCCACAUUGGGACUGAGACACGGCCCAGACUCCUACGGGAGGCAGCAGUGGGGAAUAUUGCACAAUGGGGGAAACCCUGAUGCAGCGACGCCGCGUGGAGGAAGAAGGUCUUCGGAUUGUAAACUCCUGUUGUUGAGGAAGAUAAUGACGGUACUCAACAAGGAAGUGACGGCUAACUACGUGCCAGCAGCCGCGGUAAAACGUAGGUCACAAGCGUUGUCCGGAAUUACUGGGUGUAAAGGGAGCGCAGGCGGGAAGACAAGUUGGAAGUGAAAUCCAUGGGCUCAACCCAUGAACUGCUUUCAAAACUGUUUUUCUUGAGUAGUGCAGAGGUAGGCGGAAUUCCCGGUGUAGCGGUGGAAUGCGUAGAUAUC